CAAAUCCGACUCUUAAGUGCGAUAAUUAAUUACAGGUUCGUGCUAGUCGGCUAAAAAAGAUUUCACGGUACACCGAGUUCAUCGUUAAAUAUCGAAAAUGUGAACAUUAACAGGUCUAUGGUCUCACGUGACUAUAUCGAUUUCGAGAGGAGGCAAGUUGUCAAUGCAAGUUUAAUGUCCCGGCCCUAAUGGCGUAUGGUUGUUUAUGUGAGUAGAUCGACGAUCAUGGGCGCGUAAAAAAACGGUGGCAGUCAAAUAUCAAGGGACGGUUCGGUAAUGGUACAAGAAAGAAUGUGAGGAACGUACAUUAUGCGAUCCUUCGAGACUCAUUGGACUUCUGCACCGAAGGCAUCCUGACGGAAUCUCUUAAUGAACAAGGAACGCAUAUCAACUUCAACACUUUGAGAAGCGAUCGAGUAUACGCGAUAAAACAAAAACAUAGUCUCGUUAUUAUAAUUGUAAAAAUAUAAUACUGCAAUAUUGCCCGUAAUAACACGCUACAGGAACUAAA